rnacentral:rRNA from 1 species
AGUGAACGCUGGCGGUAGGCCUGACACAUGCAAGUCGAACGGCAGCACAGUAAGAGCUUGCUCUUACGGGUGGCGAGUGGCGGACGGGUGAGGAAUACAUCGGAAUCUACUUUUUCGUGGGGGAUAACGUAGGGAAACUUACGCUAAUACCGCAUACGACCUACGGGUGAAAGCAGGGGAUCUUCGGACCUUGCGCGAUUGAAUGAGCCGAUGUCGGAUUAGCUAGUUGGCGGGGUAAAGGCCCACCAAGGCGACGAUCCGUAGCUGGUCUGAGAGGAUGAUCAGCCACACUGGAACUGAGACACGGUCCAGACUCCUACGGGAGGCAGCAGUGGGGAAUAUUGGACAAUGGGCGCAAGCCUGAUCCAGCCAUACCGCGUGGGUGAAGAAGGCCUUCGGGUUGUAAAGCCCUUUUGUCGGGAAAGAAAAGCAGCAGGUUAAUACCCCGCUGUUCUGACGGUACCCAAAGAAUAAGCACCGGCUAACUUCGUG